UGUGUUCUAAUUUUCUUUCUUCUUAUUUUCAGUUUGCGAGAUGCAAAAAGAAGUUAAAAAAAUGUUGUGCCUGGAGUUCAUAUUAUUUGCUACCCCAUGAUGGAGAAGGUGCCUCAUGGUAAAAGCGUGCCAAGAUUUUCUAAGUACCCAGACCCAUCCUGUCCUCUAUACAAAUUUUAGAGUUUAACACAUCAAU